CUUUUGUUGAUGUUGAUGCUGUUUCUUUCUGUUUGUUAGUUUUCCGUCUAACGGUCAGGUCCCUCAGCUGUAGCUCUGAUGGAGUUUGCUGGAGUUCCACUCUAGACCCUGUUUGCCUGGGUAUCACCAGCAGAGGUGGCACAACAGCAAAUAUUGCAGAACUGCAAAUAUUGCUGCCUGAUUCUUUCUCUGGAAGCUUCAACCCAGAGGGGCAGCCGCCUAUAUGAGGUGUCUGUUGGCCCCUACUGGGAGGUAUCUCCCAGUUAGGCUACACAGGGGUCAGGGACCCACUUGAGGAGGCCGUCUGACCAUUUUCAGAGUGCAAACGCCAUGCUGGGAGAACCACUCCUCUCUUCAGAGCUGUCAGACGGGGACAUUUAAGUCUGCGGAAGUUGUCUGCUGCUUUUUGUUCAGCUAUGCUCUUCCCACAGAGGUGGAGUCUAGAGGCAGUAGGCCUUGUUGAGCUGUGGUGGGCUCCACCCAGUUCAAGCUUCCCGGAGGCUUUGUUUACCUACUCAAGCCUCAGCAAUGGCAGACGCCCCUCCCCCAGCCAAGCUGCCAUCUUGCAGAUCGAUCUCAGACUGCUAUGCUAGCAGUGAGCAAGGCUCCAUCAGCGUGGGUGCUGCUGAGCCAGGCACGGGAGAGAAUCUGCCGGUUGCUAAGACCUUGGGAAAAGCACAGUAUUUGGGCGGGAGUGUCCCAUUUUUCCAGGUAGUCUGUCACGGCUUUCCUUGGCUAGGAAAGGGAAAUUCCCCGACCCCUUGUGCUUUCAGGGUGAGGUGAUGCCCUGCCCUGCUUCGGCUCACCCUCUGUGGGUUGCACCCACUGUCCAACCAGUCCCAAUGAGAUGAACCGGGUACCUCAGCUGGAAAUCCAGAAAUCGCCUGUCUUCUGUGUGGAUCAUGCUGGGAGCUUCAGACCAGAGCUGUUCCUAUUCGGCCAUCUUGACUCUGACUGUAUUUAUUUUAUUUUGGGAAAUGUGCAGGCAGAGGCAGGCACUGUCGGGAUGGACAUCUUCAGAAAGCAUAUGCAAGUUGUCCUCAGUAUGACCAAUACAAGUGCAAUCAGAUGUCUGUUUUUGCCGAUCAACAGCACAAGCAUCUUAUAUUUCACAAGGUCCCUAAAAGUCUUCCUUAAUUCAAGGGUUUUGCUGAAGAACAAGUGUGAUAAUGUACCUGAAAGCUCUUGGAGGAGCUUCAAGUGUUAUGUAAAUGAAAGGUGGUAAUUAAAAACCUCUAGAGAAGGGCAGCCUAUCUCAG
rnacentral:lncRNA from 10 species